GGGUGAGUAAUACAUCGGAACGUGCCCUGUUGUGGGGGAUAACUAGUCGAAAGAUUAGCUAAUACCGCAUACGACCUGAGGGUGAAAGCGGGGGACCGUAAGGCCUCGCGCAAUAGGAGCGGCCGAUGUCUGAUUAGCUAGUUGGUGAGGUAAAGGCUCACCAAGGCGACGAUCAGUAGCUGGUCUGAGAGGACGAUCAGCCACACUGGGACUGAGACACGGCCCAGACUCCUACGGGAGGCAGCAGUGGGGAAUUUUGGACAAUGGGGGCAACCCUGAUCCAGCAAUGCCGCGUGUGUGAAGAAGGCCUUCGGGUUGUAAAGCACUUUUGUCCGGAAAGAAAUCCUUUGGGCUAAUACCCCGGAGGGAUGACGGUACCGGAAGAAUAAGCACCGGCUAACUACGUGCCAGCAGCCGCGGUAAUACGUAGGGUGCGAGCGUUAAUCGGAAUUACUGGGCGUAAAGCGUGCGCAGGCGGUUUUGUAAGACAGGCGUGAAAUCCCCGGGCUCAACCUGGGAAUGGCGCUUGUGACUGCAAGGCUAGAGUGCGUCAGAGGGGGGUAGAAUUCCACGUGUAGCAGUGAAAUGCGUAGAGAUGUGGAGGAAUACCGAUGGCGAA
rnacentral:rRNA from 1 species